rnacentral:rRNA from 1 species
ACGAACGCUGGCGGCGUGCUUAACACCUGCAAGUCGAACGGUGAAGCGCCUUCCUUUUUGGUGGGUGUGGAUGAGUGGCGAACGGGUGAGUAACACGUGAGUAACCUGCCCCCUUCUUCUGGAUAACCGCAUGAAAGUGUGGCUAAUACGGGAUAUUCUGGGUCUGUCGCAUGAUGGGUCUGGGAAAGAUAUUGUUUCGGUGGGGGAUGGGCUCGCGGCCUAUCAGCUUGUUGGUGGGGUGAUGGCCUACCAAGGCGGUGACGGGUAGCCGGCCUGAGAGGGUGGACGGUCACACUGGGACUGAGACACGGCCCAGACUCCUACGGGAGGCAGCAGUGGGGAAUAGUGCACAAUGGGCGCAAGCCUGAUGCAGCGACGCCGCGUGAGGGAUGGAGGCCUGCGGGUUGUGAACCUCUUUCGCCAGUGAAGCAGGCCUGCCUCGUUUGUGGGUGGGUUGACGGUAGCUGGAUAAGAAGCGCCGGCUAACUACGUG